GACGAACGCUGGCGGCGUGCUUAACACAUGCAAGUCGAACGGAAAGGCCCUGCUUUUGUGGGGUGCUCGAGUGGCGAACGGGUGAGUAACACGUGAGUAACCUGCCCUUGACUUUGGGAUAACUUCAGGAAACUGGGGCUAAUACCGGAUAGGAGCUCCUGCUGCAUGGUGGGGGUUGGAAAGUUUCGGCGGUUGGGGAUGGACACGCGGCUUAUCAGCUUGUUGGUGGGGUAGUGGCUUACCAAGGCUUUGACGGGUAGCCGGCCUGAGAGGGUGACCGGCCACAUUGGGACUGAGAUACGGCCCGGACUCCUACGGGAGGCAGCAGUGGGGAAUAUUGCACAAUGGGCGGAAGCCUGAUGCAGCAACGCCGCGUGCGGGAUGACGGCCUUCGGGUUGUAACCCGCUUUCGCCUGUGACGAAGCGUGAGUGACGGUAAUGGGUAAAGAAGCACCGGCUAACUACGUG
rnacentral:rRNA from 1 species